CCAAAGAGCGGGACCCAAACGGUUGUUUUGUGCCCUGUUUUAGCGCGGGAUCAAAACAUCCCGCGCUAAAACAGGGCACAAAACAACCGUUUGGGUCCCGCUCUUUGG